GACGAACGCUGGCGGCGUGCCUAAUACAUGCAAGUUGAACGCUUCUUUCUUAUCGAACUUCGGUUCACCAAGAAAGAGGAGUAGCGAACGGGUGAGUAACACGUGGGUAACCUGCCCAUCAGCGGGGGAUAACACUUGGAAACAGGUGCUAAUACCGCAUAAUGCUUUUUCUCACAUGAGAGAAAGCUGAAAGGCGCUUUUGCGUCACUGAUGGAUGGACCCGCGGUGCAUUAGCUAGUUGGUAGGGUAACGGCCUACCAAGGCAACGAUGCAUAGCCGACCUGAGAGGGUGAUCGGCCACACUGGGACUGAGACACGGCCCAGACUCCUACGGGAGGCAGCAGUAGGGAAUCUUCGGCAAUGGACGAAAGUCUGACCGAGCAACGCCGCGUGAGUGAAGAAAGGUUUUCGGGAUCGUAAAAACUCUGUUGUUAAGAAGAAA
rnacentral:rRNA from 1 species